CCGACGGUGAGAGGUGAAAGCUGGGGGAGCAAACCGGAUUAGAUACCCGGGUAGUCCCAGCUGUAAACGAUGCAGACUCGAUGAUGCAAUGGCAUAGAGCUAUUGCAGUAUCGCAGGGAAGCCGUUAAGUCUGCCGCCUGGGAAGUACGUACGCAAGUAUGAAACUUAAAGGAAUUGGCGGGGGAGCACCACAAGGGGUGAAGCCUGCGGUUCAAUUGGAGUCAACGCCAGAAAUCUUACCCGGAGAGACAGCAGAAUGAAGGUCAGGCUGAAGACCUUACCAGACAAGCUGAGAGGUGGUGCAUGGCCGUCGUCAGCUCGUGCCGUGAGAUGUCCUGUUAAGUCAGGUAACGAGCGAGAUCCCUGCCACUAGUUGCUAUCAUUACUCUCAGGAGUAGUGGGGCGAAUUAGUGGGACCGCCACAGUUAAUGUGGAGGAAGGAAGGGGCCACGGCAGGUCAGUAUGCCCCGAAACUCUGGGGCCACACGCGGGCUGCAAUGGUAGUGACAAUGGGCUCCUAACUCGAAAGAGAGAGGCAAUCCACAAACACUACCACAGUUAUGACUGAGGGCUGUAACUCGCCCUCACGAAUAUGGAAUCCCUAGUAACUGCGUGUCAUUACCGCGCGGUGAAUACGUCCCUGCUCCUUGCACUCACCGCCCGU
rnacentral:rRNA from 1 species